AAGGAUUUAGCUUAAUGAAAGUGUUUGAUUUGCAUUCAAUUGAUGUAAGAUGGAGUCUUGCAAUCCUUA
rnacentral:tRNA from 1 species